UAAGUAACCUGCCCUUAACUCUGGGAUAACCCCGGGAAACCGGGGCUAAUACCGGAUAUGAGUCCGAGCGGCAUCACGCGGACUGGAAAGUUUUUCGGCGAGAGAUGGGCCCGCGGCCUAUCAGCUUGUUGGUGGGGUGAUGGCCUACCAAGGCGAUGACGGGUAGCCGGCCUGAGAGGGCGACCGGCCACACUGGGACUGAGAUACGGCCCAGACUCCUACGGGAGGCAG
rnacentral:rRNA from 1 species